rnacentral:rRNA from 1 species
GUAGAGGAUGCUUUUGGGCAGUCUACCGGUCUAAGUUCCUUGGAACAGGACGUCAUAGAGGGUGAGAAUCCCGUAUGUGACCGGCCAGGCACCCUCCGUAAAGCUCCUUCGACGAGUCGGGUUGUUUGGGAAUGCAGCCCUAAAUUGGAGGUAAAUUUCUUCUAAAGCUAAAUACCGGCCAGAGACCGAUAGCGCACAAGUAGAGUGAUCGAAAGAUGAAAAGCACUUUGGAAAGAGAGUUAAAAAGCACGUGAAAUUGUUGAAAGGGAAGCGCUUGCAAUCAGUCUCGACGGCGGCUGUUCAGCCGGUCUUCUGACCGGUCCACUCAGCCGCCGCCGGGCCAGCAUCGGUUUCGGCGGUCGGAUAAAGGCCAUGGGAAUGUAGCUCCUCCGGGAGUGUUAUAGCCCAAGGUGCAAUACGAUCAGCCGGGACCGAGGUCCGCGCUUCGGCUAGGAUGCUGGCGAAAUGGUUGUAAGCGGCCCGUCUUGAAACACGGACCAAGGAGUCUAACAUCUAUGCGAGUGUUUGGGUGUCAAACCCAUACGCGUAAUGAAAGUGAACGGAGGUGGGAACCCUUUGGGUGCACCAUCGACCGAUCCUGAUGUCUUCGGAUGGAUUUGAGUAAGAGCAUAGCUGUUGGGACCCGAAAGAUGGUGAACUAUGCCUGAAUAGGGUGAAGCCAGAGGAAACUCUGGUGGAGGCUCGCAGCGGUUCUGACGUGCAAAUCGAUCGUCAAAUUUGGGUAUAGGGGCGAAAGACUAAUCGAACCAUUGAACAACUCAAACUACUAGGUGGUUGAGAGGCCGCGCAACAAAAGGCGACCUAGUCCGACAAGGCAACCCUCCCCUCUCACGGGGGGGGGGCCACUGCCUCCGGGCGACACUAUCAAAUUGCGGGAAAGCCCCGCGAAAGACCCGUGGCUACCGCCCCCCUCCCGAAAGGGCCAGGGUGGGCACCGGGCUAGCAGCCCCGGGUACGGUAAAAAUGCCACGGGAUGGGGUGACCACGCAGCCAAAUCCUCAAGGGGGUCCUUUCAACGGGGCCCCCAAGGACGCAGUCCACAGACUAGACGGUAGUGGGCGUCGACCCACCGCGGGCGACGCUUAAGAUAUAGUCGAAUGCCCCCCGGAGACGGGGAACAGCUCAAAUUUGAAAUCUGGCGCAAGCCCGAGUUGUAAUUUGUAGAGGAUGCUUCUGGGCAGCGGCCGGUCUAAGUUCCUUGGAACAGGACGUCAUAGAG